UGGUGAUGAUGGCGGAGGGGAACCACGCGUUCCCAUCUCGAACACGACCGUUAAGCCCUCCAGCGUCGAUGGUACUUGAACCGAAGGGUUCUGGGAGAGUAGAACGUCGCCAAGCA
rnacentral:rRNA from 1 species